GGAUUAGAUACCCUGGUAGUCCACGCCGUAAACGAUGUCAGCUAGUCGUCGGGGGGCGUAGCCCUUCGGUAACGCAGCAAACGCAUUAAGCUGACCGCCUGGGGAGUACGGCCGCAAGGUUAAAACUCAAAGGAAUUGACGGGGGCCCGCACAAGCGGUGGAGCAUGUGGUUUAAUUCGAUGCAACGCGAAGAACCUUACCAUCCCUUGACAUCCAGAGAACUUUCUAGAGAUAGAUUGGUGCCUUCGGGAACUCUGAGACAGGUGCUGCAUGGCUGUCGUCAGCUCGUGCCG
rnacentral:rRNA from 1 species